UCUUGUUUAAAUGGGUAUUCCAGUAGUUCUUCACCUCAUUAUCAGUUCGACCCGGAAGCCGACCAGCAAUCAAUGACCAUCUGAUGGAAGAAGUAACAGAGUUGAAACCAAACAUUCAGCAAGUUUGCUCUCUUUACUGUUGGUGACAAUACAACUUACAGGGUGUAAUGAUGGUUAGCAUGAUUGUAUUCUUCAUAUAUAUGACACAAAAAUGGGCUCCCGGCACUGUCAUAUAUUACUCGCAGAAUGUUGCAAUGUUGGGUCAUGCAUGCAUUAUCAUUACUCUCUUUGCGCUGGUGGAUUGACGUGAGGGCCCUGCAUUGCUAAAAGCUUAUCUGCCUGCUUCUCGAUCAAGACAGGUAACUCUCUCUCCAUUCUUGGUAGAAGAUUAUUGAGCCUAGUUGCUAAAAUAAUAUUAUUUUCUGAGUAUAAAAAAGAGGGAAGUCUGUUUUGGCCUUGGCCCUUAUUGACAAGAGGCUUUUAUUAAACAAAAUGGUUUUUUGUUAUAAGUUUUUGAAAGACAGCUAGUUUGUUCCAUAACUUUAUCAGUGAGUGUUAGGACAGCUUACACACCUUGACUAAUCUCUAGUGUUAGGAAACUCACGGGAUAUUUAAUCUUAGAUGAAUGACCACCAUGAAUUGAGCCUAUAAUAAGUUAUUACCUAGUAUCCAAUAGUUUUGUAGUUUUUGGAUUCAAGAAUGUCUCUAAAAGGGAUAUUUCAAACCAAGGAUCUGUGAGGGGAUAAAUAAGCGCAAUGAUUGUUCUGAUGUGUAAGGGAAUACGGUAUUUUUUAAUAAAUAAGAAAAGAAUGGCUGUUUUUUUUGUUUAUUUUCCCCCCUUUUUUGGUUUACUUCUAACUUUUAUUUUUACUUGAAAGUUGGAAAUAGGACAAAAGCUUUAUUAUUCCUCAUUGCUUGGUUUCCGGUUAGAAUGACGAGUGAUUUUUUUUGGGAGUUAAUGAGAAAUGAGAAUUAUUGGUAUAUACACACCCAGACAAAACGGAUAAGCUUGAGUUUGAUUUUACCCGAAUAGUUUCAAGAUUUUGUUUUAUGGAACAAUUUAAUUUUUUCCCCCUUUGGAUUUUGUAUAUACAUAUUACUGUGCAUUUCAUAUCGUUGUUUACCACUCUUGCUUCUUCCGAGAAUAAAAUUCUAAUUUUCUCUAGAAAGUUCCUCUUUAUAAGAAGGCGUAUCUUAACGGAGUGAGUUAUUAAAAUUUAUUAUUAUUAUAGUAUGUGUUAUUAUAGUCUAUGUUUAUGGUUAUUAUAAUAGUGGUGCGGAUUAUUAUAAUCUAUGUUUGAAUUGUAAAUUUUUAUAGUCGGGUCAUAUCAAGUUUAUUUUUUUCUACUAUUAAUUUUUGCAUACAUGAAAUACCAUUUUUUGAAAACAUAGUUCGAUGUACCUUCCACUAAUUUAUACAAAAUAGUUUAUUACUAGUUGAGAUGCAUUCUUCUACAAUUUUAUAUUAUAAUAUAUUUUGUAGAAAUUAAUAUGUGAUUUAAUCUUGUUGAUUAGAUGGUUCAUGUACAAAUGAAUAUUAACAAGUUUAACAAGUAGAUAAAUAAUUUUGCAAGGCAAAAAAAAGCAUAAUAAAGUGUUUUAAAAAAUAUUAUUAUAAUUAACUAAAUGUAUUUGGAAUUAGAAAAAGGUUAUAAAAAAUUCCUUUUUAUUUAAAUAUUUUUUAUAAGAACUUAGAACAAAAGCAUAAUGUGGUUAAACUUUGUUUUGAAAGCAUUUGUAUAUACAAGUUUCUUUUUAUUGUUAUAUAUAUUAGAAAUGCUUUUGUUAAAAAAAAAAAUUAAUUGAUUGAUGACGACAGUCUCUGGAGUUAGUUAAAAAAUUUAAAUUGAUUGGUAUUGGUCGGAGCUUGGUUGACAAUAAUCACCAGAUAUUAGUCUAAACCCUAAAAAUGUUUUCAUUAAAAAAAAUUUAAGGUUGAUUGGUAGCGAUUGGGAGGUUAGUUGGCGACGGUCGCUAGAGUUAAGUUUUCGAAAGUUUGUCGGUAGAGUCAUUGGUGGUCGUAGAUUGGCCAAUGAUGAUCAUCGGAGAUUAGCUUGAACUUUAAAAAAAAUUAUUAAAAUUUUUCAAGGUUGAUCAGUGGUAAUGGUGAAGUUUGUUGAUGGAGUCACUGCCGUCACCAAAGAUGGUGAUUAGAGAUUGACCAGCGAAGAUCAGAAAAUUGGUUGAUGAGCUUUCCAAUACUUAAACAAAUAUUUCUAGAGUUGAAGAGUAGUAAUGAUAUGAGAGUUAUUUUAAAUCCUAAUCCUCAACUGAAACUAAUCCUUACCCUCAAUGAAGUGUGGAUUAUUAUAGUCCACUUCACUUCAUUCCUAGCCCCAAACAUUAUCAUGAUAAAUUUUUUUAUAUCACAUCGCAUGGACUUGUAUUUCAAGUUUAGUGACCAACGUCGGGGCAAAUUCUUUCUAAAAUUUGAAGAUUAAAAAGAAAAAUAGUAAAGACGACAAUGAGAAUAAGUAAAAAUAAUAUUUUCUUCAAGAAAAAUUAAGAACAACAAUGAAAUUUGAGAGCCUUUUUCAUUUUUAUUAUUGUCGGUCAUGUGAAGGAAGGUACAAGACUAGAGCUACUCCUACCUGGGAGCUUAAGUAUUUAUCAAGCUUUCAUAAGUUAGAGGCAGUCAGAGAGAGAGAAAAAAAAAAAAAAAACAAUGGCAGCUUUUGCUGGAGGAAGUAGGCAAGCAGCCAAUUGAGUCAUAAGCCGUGAGGCAGCAGCCUAUUGUAAAGAUUCCAUAUCCCUUCAUUAAGCUAGAGCUUACAUAGUGCUGUCUCUCAUCACUGGGAUCUUUUUCCCCUCCUUUUGCAUCUGCCUACCUGCCUUUUUCUGCCCUGUUUCUCCAUAUCAGGUACAUCUACACACUCCCAUUUCCACUUAAUCAUCAACGUUUCCAAAUAUCGGGUUAAUAAGGACUGGCCUGUUUCUUGUUUGUGGUUGUUUUUUCUUGGUAAGGGAAGUGCGUGAAAGGGAAUUUGAUAAUUAACUUUAGAUAUUGUUUAAUUGUGGUUCUUUUAGGAGUAAACUACUAAUUUACUCUCCUCGGAUUUUGAAAUUCUGUUUUGUGUCUAUAAAAGGACGUUGAACUUCAAAAAUGUUUUAAUAGGGUCCUUGAAUUUUGAUUUUUCUUUGGGGAAAGGAAGGGGUGUAAGGGAUUUUGAUAACUAUUUAUUGUUUAUGGGUUUCUUUUAGCAGUAAACUACACUACAGAUUUACUCAAUUUUUAAGUUUGUCUUUAGAAAUAUGUCAAUCUUUAGAACCAUGUUGUAUAGAUGUCUUAACUUUCAAUUUUGUGUCUAAAAGGACAGUUUCCUUUUUAAAUGGUUAAUAACUUUUUAGAUGGGUGUAAGGGAUUUUGAUAGCUAUUUCUUAUUUAUGGUUUUUUUAAAAAAGAAAUGUAUAUAUUAAGUUUGUGUGGAUUUUUUAUGGCAGUUCAUGCCUUUAAAGUUGUUGAACUUCGAAAUUUCAGACCCUUUCAUGAGUGAAAGAUAUUUCAUUUUGUUGAACCUUUUUCUUUUUUCUUCUUUCUUUUAAUAACAAGAUCACAGCGAUGAGGGGCAGCACAGUGAUGGGUUAAUGGGUUUAUGAACAAAUAAAAGUUCAAUUCUUAAAUUUGUCUUCUUCUUCUUUUUUUAAGAGGGGUGAAGGGAUUUUGAGAACUAUUUUAAUAUUUUUGGUUUUUUGUUUUGUCUAAGGUAAAAGAAGUGUUUCAAUAA